rnacentral:ncRNA from 1 species
UUAAAGUUUUAUUCUUGCUAUAGUAUUCACUAUUUGAUUGCAUCAUAUACUAAGUAUUUUUAAUAUUUUUUAGAGUAGUGGUAGAUAUUAUUUUCUCAAUUCAAGUUGGAAAUAGCAAUUUGUAUAUUUCCGGUUAAAAUCGUGCCAGCCACCGCGGUUAUACGUAAGGAUUAAGUGAAUAUUUUUGGUUUAGUAGUUAGAUUUAUUUUUCCUUAAAUUUAAGAUUUUUAGGUGAAAUUUUAAUUUUAUUGUUAGUGGUUUUAAUUUAAGCUACGAAAUUUAUUUUAAAGACAAGGAUUAGAUACCCUUUUAUUUUAAAUGUAAAUAUUAACCUGGGUAGUAGUAGUUAUGUUCUUGAAACCCAAAGAAUUUGGCGGUAUUUUAUUCUUUUUAGAGGAACCUGUCCUGUAAUUGAUAUUCCACGAUGAAAAAUUACUUAUCUUUGUAUUCAUUUUGUAUACCUCCGUCAUCAGAAUAUCUUUUUAGAGUUAAUAUUCAAGAUAUACAUAAUAUAAGAUGUCAGGUCAAGGUGCAAUUUAUGGGUAAGUAGAGAUGGGUUACAAUAAAUUUAUUUAUACGGAUUUAUUUGUUACUAUUAACAUAAUGAAGGUGGAUUUAAAAGUAAAAUUAUUUUCUAAAUAUUUUGACUUUAGCUCUAAAAUAUGCACACAUCGCCCGUCGCUCUUAUUUUAAAAUAAGAUAAGUCGUAACAUAGUAGAGGUACCGGAAGGUGUCUCUAGAAAGUAAAU